AAUCUGUAUAUACGGUUGAAGUUUAUCCGAGUUAAUAAUAAAAAUAAAAAUAAAACAAUCGUUAUGAAAGUAGGUUGCUUCGAGAUAUUCAUUGGUCCGAUUCGAUUUUUUACAGAGAUGUGUAUUAUAAUUCGAACAGGUCGACUGAAUGAAAAAUGUUUUAAAUAUGUCCUGUAUAAUUGAGGGUAAAUAAUGGUCUUGAGUUGGACCAAAAUUAAUUUAAAUAAUAUUAAACAGAUCAAUAUCAAAAGACAUCCCAGUUUUUCCAUUUUACUUAUGCUUGCAGGAAAACAGUACGAUUUGGACGAGUUAACAAUAGUAUUAUAUAAUUUUACAUCUAUUUUUGAGCGGACUACGUAUAAGUCAUAAAAAAAACCAACAUUUUUGGUAUACAAGAUAAACUGGGUCACGCAAAGGC